UAGUCCACGCCGUAAACGAUGGUCACUAGCUGUUCGAACUUCGGUUUGAGUGGCUAAGCGAAAGUGAUAAGUGACCCACCUGGGGAGUACGUUCGCAAGAAUGAAACUCAAAGGAAUUGACGGGGGCCCGCACAAGCGGUGGAGCAUGUGGUUUAAUUCGAUGAUACGCGAGGAACCUUACCAGGGCUUAAAUGUAGAUUGACAGGACUAGAGAUAGUUUUUUCUUCGGACAAUUUACAAGGUGCUGCAUGGUUGUCGUCAGCUCGUGCCGUGAGGUGUCAGGUUAAGUCCUAUAACGAGCGCAACCCCUGUUGUUAGUUGCCAGCGAGUCAUGUCGGGAACUCUAACAAGACUGCCAGUGCAAACUGUGAGGAAGGUGGGGAUGACGUCAAAUCAUCACGGCCCUUACGUCCUGGGCUACACACGUGCUACAAUGGUCGUGACAAAGAGUUGCUAGUCUGCGAAGGCAAGCCAAUCUCAUAAACGCGGCCUUAGUUCGGAUUG
rnacentral:rRNA from 1 species